CACGUAGGGGGCGAGCGUUGUCCGGAUUUAUUGGGCGUAAAGAGCUCGUAGGCGGUUUCGUAAGUCGGAUGUGAAAACUCCAGGCUCAACUUGGAGACGCCAUUCGAUACUGCGAUGACUUGAGUCCGGUAGGGGAGUGUGGAAUUCCUGGUGUAGCGGUGAAAUGCGUAGAUAUCGUAAGGAAGACCAGUGGCGAAGGCGGAUCUCUGGACAGUUACUGACACUGAGGCACGAAGGCCAGGGGAGCAAACGGG
rnacentral:rRNA from 1 species